CUAAUACCGCAUACGUCCUACGGGAGAAAGCAGGGGAUCUUCGGACCUUGCGCUAAUAGAUGAGCCUAAGUCGGAUUAGCUAGUUGGUGGGGUAAAGGCCUACCAAGGCGACGAUCUGUAGCGGGUCUGAAGGAUGAUCCGCCACACUGGGACUGAGACACGGCCCAGACUCCUACGGGAGGCAGCAGUGGGGAAUAUUGGACAAUGGGGGGAACCCUGAUCCAGCCAUGCCGCGUGUGUGAAGAAGGCCUUAUGGUUGUAAAGCACUUUAAGCGAGGAGGAGGCUACUGAGACUAAUACUCUUGGAUAGUGGACGUUACUCGCAGAAUAAGCACCGGCUAACUCUGUGCCAGCAGCCGCGGUAAUACAGAGGGUGCGAGCGUUAAUCGGAUUUACUGGGCGUAAAGCGUGCGUACGCGGCUUUUUAAGUCGGAUGUGAAAUCCCCGAGCUUAACUUGGGAAUUGCAUUCGAUACUGGGAAGCUAGAGUAUGGGAGAGGAUGGUAGAAUUCCAGUGUAGCGGUGAAAUGCGUAGAGAUCUGGAGGAAUACCGAUGGCGAAGCAGCCAUCUGGCCUAAUACUGACGCUGAGUACGAAGCAUGGGGAGCAAACAGAUUAGAUACCCUGGUAGUCCAUGCCGUAACGAUGUCUACUAGCC
rnacentral:rRNA from 1 species